rnacentral:rRNA from 1 species
UACGUAGGUGGCAAGCGUUGUCCGGAUUUAUUGGGCGUAAAGCGCGCGCAGGCGGUUUCUUAAGUCUGAUGUGAAAGCCCACGGCUUAACCGUGGAGGGUCAUUGGAAACUGGGAGACUUGAGUGCAGAAGAGGAAAGUGGAAUUCCAAGUGUAGCGGUGAAAUGCGUAGAUAUCUGGAGGAACACCGGUGGCGAAGGCGGCAUCCUGGACCAACACUGACGCUGAGGAGCGAAAGCCAGGGGAGCAAACGGG